UUUUGUAAUUUUUGGUGAUAAUUUGCUCAUUUUUAGUCAUAAUUAGCUCUUUUUGUGUCAUAAUUUGCUCUUUUUUGGUCAUAAUUUGCUCUUUUUUGGUGAUAAUUUGCUCUUUUUCUGUCAUGAUUUGCUCAUCUAUGGACAUUUUUGAUGAUAAUUUGCAAAUUUUUAGACAUAAUUUGCGCAUUUGUGAUCAUAAUUUGCUUAUUUUUGGUUAUUUUUGGUCAUAGUUUGCACAUUUUGUAUCAUAAUUUGCUCUUUUUCUGUCAUAAUUUGCUAAUUUUUAGUCAUAAUUUGCUCAUUUUGGGUGGAUUUUGCUGCUAAAAUCUCCCAUUUUCCCCGUUUUCACCAGUGUUUUGUCUUUUACCGUAAACCUGCCGGCGGCCUGACAGGUUUGUCCUGCCUGUCGCCGUUUAUUACGCCUCAGGACAGAGUUAUUUCAGCUGCACUGUGACACCAAUACUAAUGAAGCCGGGAGACAAAGAGGUAAAGCAACGACGAGGAAGGAGACGUUAAAAAAACACCGACUAACCAGCAGCGACAGAGGUUUAAUGAGAUCUGGGGGAGGUGGGCUCGGCCUAUUUAAAGGUGCUGCGUGAUGAGAGAAUCCAGAAAACGCCGGACUCAGUUCUGAGCCGAAACGCUGCAGGUUUUCAGCAUCGAUCGGAGUCCAGACUCAGAUAAGAUCCACAAACCUGAGCAUUUACAGAAUAAACCUACAAAUACACCCAGUUGAUACAAAAAGACUAAAUUUUCACACAUAAAAUGCAGUUUUACACAUGAAUUAGAGCUGAAAAUACUGGAAAAAAUGUAAAACGUAUUUUUUCUGCUGUGUUUUUCUUCCAAAAUGCAAAAUAAAAGGAAUUUCUCCCAUUUGACUUGAAAAACUACUUGGAAAGAAUUAAUUAUGUCCAAAUAAUCAGUGUUUUUAGUGCAUUUGCAUCAAAAUAUUCUUUCAAAAGCUGCAAAAAUCAGUUCAAAAUCUGCCUAAUUUGGUGCAACACUGAGAAAUCCAACACUGUUGGUCAGGAUGAGCACCAAAAAUCUAUCAGACUCAUAGAGCUGGACCCAAAUAUCCGAAUAUUCGACCCAACGGUGGUAUCCGGAUAUUAAUUUUGAGAUCUGAAUAUUCGCCAGACAGAUUUUUGGCAUUUCUUUCAGACAAAAUCACCAAAAUCGAUCAAAUUUGCCAGUUUCAAAUGCUAAAAUUCAGUUUUAAAGCAUGUUUAUUAGCAUAAAAUGACAAAUAUCCAGCUGCUAAUGUGCAUGAUGCAUGAAACCCACUUACUGAGGUCACUGGGUGUUGUAGUUUUUAGCAAAUGUUAUGUAAUAUUCAGCACAUUUAAGUGUCGGGAGGCUGUAAAUCUACUAGAAAACGAUGGUUUUCCUUUUUUGGGGGGUCAUUUUUCACAGACAAAACUAAUUCUGCUAUCAGCAGGACAUAAUUUACUUUUUGGUUUUCUGAUGUUCCACCAUUAAAAUUUAGGCUUUUUCUUCACAAAGGCAAUUUUUUGGCAAUACUUUCAGACAAAACCUCCAAAAUCUAUCAAACUCACCAAUUUUAAACACUAAAAUUUUGUUUAAAAGCAUGUUUACUAGUCUAAAAUGAGAAAUCUCCAACUGGGUGUUGUAGUUUUUAGCCAAUAUAAUGUAUUUUAAGUGUCAGGAGGCUGUAAAUCUACAAAAAAAUGUUGGUUUUCCUUUGUUUUUUUUUCUCACAAAGGCAGUUUUUUGGUCAUUUCUUUCAGACAAAACCACCAAAAUCUAUCAAAUGUGCCAGUUUUAAAUGCAAAAAUUUUGUUUAAAAGUGUGUUUACUAGCCUAAAAUGAGAAAAUUCCAACUACUAAUCAUGCCUGAAGCUGCUGGGUGUUGUAGUUUUUAGCCAAUGUUAUGUCAUUUAAGUGUCAAGAGGCUGUAAAUCUACAAAAAAAAAAGUCUUCCUUAGUUUUUUUGUUCAAAAAUGCAUGUUUUUGCCAUUUCUUUCUGACAAAACCCCCCAAAUCUAUCAAAUUCGCCAGUUUUAAGCACUAAAAUUCACUUUUAAAGCAUGUUUACUAGCCUAAAAUGACAAAGUUCCAAUUAAUAAUGGAGCACGAUGCAUAAAAUCUAGGGACUACUUUCAGCGGUGGAUUAAUACAUGAUUUUAUUUACAUUAUCUAACAGAAAGCUAAAAAUGGACUAGAAAGACUCAUGGAGAAAAAUCCCUUCUGCCAUGUUUGUUGACUUGGAGAAUGAGGUCCACAGAACAAAGUGGCUGAUGGGAAAUGUAGUCAUAAUUUUCAAAAAAGACCAGUUUUCAGCAUCUAGGGCAUUUUUUUUUGCGUGAAUUCACAGCUUUAAAGUGGCUAAAACAUAUGAAAAAAUGUUGUUUGGCUUCAGAUUUGGCUUCUUGUUUGUGUUUCGGCGCUACAACUCUUGAUUCUCUCGAUGCUUCGCCUCGACGAGUCCCCGGUCCGGGUGUCACGUUUGAUUUGACCGCCCUAAUAAAGCAGCGACAGGACCACUUUCUCCCCUGAACCCCAACUGCUCGGUCGGCCCCGGCAACAACUCCCGCCGCCCUCGACUGCCUCGACGCCGCCGGGGCGCCUUAAUUGGUGUGGACAGUCUUAACGAGAAAUCACUACGCCGCUGCUCCGGGGCUCUUAUUGGGAGCUGCAGGUGUUGGAGGGUUUAAAUAUGAAAGUCAGAGCAUCUUAAAGGUCUCUGCAGAACCCAGCUGAGGUUUGAAUGAUGAUAUACAGCGGCGUUUUCUGAUCCGCCAUCGUAAGGGUUGAGAUUUACUAAAUAUUUUGCAACAAAAAUGACUUCAGAGCAGCAGAUUCAGGUGUUAAAAUGUCCAAUAUAGCCAGUGAACACAUACAUAACCAGCUUUCAAUUGAAAAAUCCCCAUUAGGACUAAAAAUUCAAUGCAAAAAGACAAUUCAACUAAAAUGCAGAUUCUCAAGUGAUGUAUUGUCUUUAUAAGCAAGAAAUUUGGCAAGAUUUAAGAUUGUUUGCACCAAGUUGGAGUGAAAUAUUUGAUUAAAAUCAGAAACUGAACCAUGUAACCAGAGGAACACCUCUAUUAGAAUGUAAUAUUCAGUAAUUUAAGCAUCGGGAGGCUGUAAAUUUACUACAAAAUGUUGGUUUUCCUCUAAAAAAGGCAGUUUUUGUCAUUUCUUUCAGACAGAACACAUACAAAUUAUCAGCAAUAUGUAAUUUAUCACAGUUUUCGAUGUCCAACCCUAUUGGUUUUGGUUUUAUUGGGUUUUAGUACCAAAACAUGUUAGUUACAGACCUCCUUCAAGUGUUUUUACCUUUUCAAUGUCGCCAUGUGGUGUCUUUAGAUGCUAAAUUACUCAUCUCAGGUAAAAUAUGCUGUCAGCACCAUGACUGAGCAUUUCUACCUUGAAACAACCAAUUUUGCAACUUGUGCAGCGUAUAGUAGUUUUACAGUGUUUUUAGGUGAGCCGGUGUCUUCAAACUGUCUUUUUAAACCAGGAACAAGUCAUUUGAAUGGAAAAAAACUUCUAAAUAUGCAACUUUUAUACACAUAGUUGAGUUUUUAGGGACUUUAAGAUAACAGCACUCCAAUAUCACUGCUGGACGACGGAUCCAAAUCGAUUGAGGCUUUUUUUACUUGUCAAAACCUGAUACCAACAUUACCAACAAUACAACUCAACCACCAUCAGAUUUUGACAUCUGGGUGUGGUUUGCUAACCCCUAAUGCAGCAUGUAGCGUUGGUUAGCUCUCUUUUUUCUCCAAAGUUGUGGACUUCGACACCAAAGAACAUCACUUGAGGACAUUUAUCAGACAUCUGGAGACACAAAAGCCCUCAUAAGUUGCAUUCAUUCAGCAGUUUUUACCCCAAAACCUGAAACCAGACUUUGUCAUGUCUCACGUUCCAGCCUUCAUAAACUGCUAUCGACAGGAUGAGACUAUAUCAGCUUCUAGUUCCAACCUGUUUGGCUAAAUCACUCCAAUAUUACAACUUGUGCAACGUUUAAUCGAUUGAGGCUUUUUCUUUCUUGUCAAAACCGGGCGCCAACAUUAUCAGCAAUGCAACUCGACUGCUAUCACAUUUUGACAUCUGGGUGUGGUUUGCUAGCAGCUAAUGUAGCAUGUAGCAUUUGUUAGCUCCCCUUUUUCUAACUCCAAACUUGUAUCCUUCAACACCAACAAAAACUGACUCAAAAGCACCACUUUCGGAGACACUAAACCUUUCAACUAUCACCCUAUAACUUCCGUUUAUGCAGCAGUUUCUCCCCUAAAACCUGGAACCAGACUUUGUCACUUCUCCAAAAAAAAAAACACCGCUAUCGACAGGACGAGACGGAGAUAACAGCGUCUGUCAAAUCUUCUCACGCUGACACACAAACAAACAUCAUGAGUCUCCUCUCAGCAGCCCUGAAAUCCAUUAUUGCCGAUCGAUGUUGGCCUGUGAAUAUGCAGGAGGUCAGGACGAGAAAACCCUGAAAAACGGACACGAGCUUCGUUCCCACAGUCUGAAGCUGCAAAUACACACAAACAAAAACACGCACAGCGACUGCUGGUAAUCCGUGUCAUAAAGCAGAGUCCAGCUUAUUAAUAAUGCACGGCGUCUGCAUGCAGCAGGAUGCGUAAAAUGGAAAAUAUUUAUUCGGUUUUUCAGCUCAAUUUGACUCUAAGUGGAUUCGAGGACAUAUGCCAUGAAACUAGCUACGAAUAUCACCAAAUACUGUGAUAUAAAGCUCAUAUCAUUGAGCUUUCUCCUUAUAUUGCCAUGGAACACCUUCGAAAAAGCUUUAAAAACAUUAUCUCUGUUGUUUCUGGGAGGUUUUUAAUGUUCAGUGUCAGCAAAAUAGAAGCAAUUUCCAUGAAAAACAAAGAGAAGGUGGGGCUGCACAGUGGCGUAGUGGUUAGCACUUUCGCCUUGCAGCAAGAAGAUCCCUGGUUCGCGUCCCGGCUUUCCCGGGAUCUUUCUGCAUGGAGUUUGCAUGUUCUCCCUGUGCAUGCGUGGGUUUUCUCCGGGUACUCCGGCUUCCUCCCACAGUCCAAAAAUAUGCUGAGGUUAAUUGAUUAUUCUAAAUUGCCCGUAGGUGUGAAUGUGAGAGUGAUUGUUUGUCUUUGUAUGUGGCCCUGUGACAGACUGGUGACCUGUCUAGGGUGUCCCCUGCCUUCACCCGAGUCAGCUGGGAUAGACUCCAGCACCCCCCAUGACCCUAGUGAGGAUUAAGCGGUGUAUAGAUGAUGGAUGGAUGGACAAAGAGAAGGUGGCAGAUUCAGGAGUCAGUGCUGCAGGAAUGUGCAUUGUACUGAAUGUAGGAUGCAGAAUAUGAGGACAGAGGUUGGUUUUAGCAUCGUUUUCUUAUCAUCCAUAAUUCACCGGCCAACACCGUCCUCCGACCAAACAAUGGACUCCUCCGGUCUCUUCCUCUUCCUGCCUUCCCUCCCUCCAUUUUGCCUGGUUAACCCGGCUGCGAGGUGAAGAAGAAGUGAAGUGAGCAGACCGAGGCGGGUCAUGCUGAGAUUCCCAUCAAUAAUUCAUCGGGCCGCUGCUGCCUCGGCUCUUGUGUUCAAUUCCCCUGACGAUCACAUAAUACCUCCCCCCAAAAGAGAGGCAGAGAGAGGGGGAGAAAGAGGUCCGAGGAAGGAGAAAAUGGUGAAAUGGAUUCGAAACGAGAGGGACGAAAGAUUGAAACGGCCACAUUGGUCUUUUAUUAUAUUAUGGUGUGACGUGGGAGCUAGUUGCUGCUUGUUUUCUUUAAAAAAAACAUGUUUAGAAGCUCAAAAUGAGAAAACUCCAAUGAAACCAGCAAUAUUUCAAACAUAAGUGCAUAAAAUCUGCUUCCUGAAACAGCUGGACAUUGUAGUUUUUAGAAAAUGGUGGUCAGAUAAGCCUAAACAGUGGAUUUUCUUAGGGACUACUUUCACCAGCGGAUGAAUACAUAAUUUUAUCUACAUUAUAAACCAAAUACGUUCUUUUGUGUUGACAAUUAGAGGUGGAAAAAGGAGAAUUGUGGAGAAAAAUUACGUGAUGAUGGGAAACGUAGUCGUAUUGUGCCUAAACAGUGGAUUUUCUUCGGGACUAUUUUCUGUGGUGGAUGAAUACACAAUUUUAAUCUACAUUAUAAACCAAUCAGCUGAGUUUGUGUUGACAGUUGGAGGUGGAAACAGAGAUUUGUGGAGAAAAAAUAAACUGGUUCUCUUCAAGGAGGAGGUAAACAAAACAACAGUGCUGAUGGGAAAUGUAGUCGUAUGGUGUAUAAAUAAUGUAUUAAAUGGGACUACUAUCCAUGGCGGAUUGAUACACGAUUCCAUUCAUAUUAAAAAACAGCUAGUUUCUGAAAACUGAAUUCUUACACCUAAAUAAAACCUAUAAACUCUGCUUUGACACCACUCUGCUCAUGCUACAUGAAUAAACAUCUACCUUUCUACAAGAUAAAAGACAAAUUUAGGCAAAUUUAGGUUUUAAGGACAAUGUUUGUUCCCCUAAAACAGUCUGUAGGGAUGAUAUUUGUUUAACAGAAGCUGUAAUAGGUGGUUCUACAAAUAUUUAACAUAAUAUUUUAAUGAUAAUUGUAGCCCACAGUAGACUACUAGAAAAAGAAAUAAACUACAGUAGAUAAAAUGUGACACUUGAAACUCUAGGAAAAUAAAUAAAUAGUUAUUAUAUACAAAAGGAGUUAAAAAUCUUUAAAUAGAACUAAGUACAGUGAAGUUAAAAAUGCAUUAAAAUACAUGGUAAAUUUGAUUUGCCAGGACUGUGUGCUUUGAGUAAAAACUUGAGUGCACAACCAAUAGUUGAUGUGAACGUACUUCACAUCAGCCAAUCAGAUUGUUUGUCCCGCCCGGGUUUGGUUGCUCUGAAACCAAGUUUUUGUUGCGCACAAACAAAAGGGCAGGCGGGAAGAGGGAGAGUCGUAACCGGGAGAGAUAUACUGUUCAUGUUGGUACAAAAGUUAAACAUAAGAACAACAAAUAUCCACGUUCCAGAGUGAAACAUAAGAGCCGGGGGAGGCUAUUUCUUCGGUUAUUGUCUGACGCUUUGCUUCGGUGAGUUAAAAUCGGCAUAUAAUCGCGCUAGCCGCUAUGCUAAUUUUUUACCAUUGUUAGUUACCUUCGCUUAUGCUAAACAUGUUAGCAUUCAGACGCGUUCGUUUGGUAGUUAAAAGAAGAUGAAACGCGGUGUAUUCAUGCUUUAUAGGUUCGUAUUUUAAGGUGAACAGUUAUUAUUGUGUGUUUGUUGUGUAUUGUUGCACAAGGUUAAUUAAUUUUCCUGAAGUGUGUAAGUUCAGUAUGUCGACCUGUAACUUGGAAAACUGGUUAAAACCGGUCAUGACAUGUUUGAACUGAAUGUGUGAAAUAGUACUAUGUUUGACAAGAUGAGAAAUGAGAUGAGAGAUGAUUUACAGUUACUUUGUUCAAACACAAACGUAAUUGAAUUCUGACCUUGCCCAUAGGUCAGGUUUUUUAGUUGGAUUCCAACACCAGAUUGCACUAAUGUGAGAACUGAAGUCUCCUACACUCUGUUAGGGAUUACUGGAAGAACUUUGAAGAACUCCAUUAAUGGAUGGCGAGCCACUGCCCAAAAGAACCUACCUACAGGCGUGACGUGAGGUAGGAUUGAACUGUGUUGCAGGUGUCACACAACCCAUGUGAACGAGCUAUCGAACUGUUAUUGGACUAUUUGGACUGAGGACAAAGGACUAAAACUUCAGAUUGGACGUGAUCUACGCUAUUAAUUGUGUUUCUGUAAAUGGGGAAUUUGUACAAUAAGCAGCUGCAACUUUUAUUUGUUUCAAUUCAAUACAACUGUGUUUUCUAGUUGCAUUGUCUGUGUCAUAUUUCACUAUAGUUAUUCAGCAUCUGGGCUCCUGUCGUACCUUUAAAUCUUCUGAUUCUGGUCCCAUUUCCUAUUACCUAUCUAUUUUCUUAUUCCUCUUAUACUAGUUACAUAAUGCUGAUUUAAGAAGCCUCAGCAGCUAUAUUCAUUCUUCUGUCACAGUUUUUUAUUCGUGUAGCAAGAUAGCUAGCUAGCAAGAAAACUAAAAUCCCCAUUUUCAACCUCACCUGCUCUAAUUGGUCAAUUCUCAAGCCACAAAAUUAGCCACCAAUGAGAAAAACAUCGGAUAUAAUAGGGCCCAAAGUCAGUUUUUCUUGCUUUUACCCUCAACCCAACUGGUCGAGGCUGAUAGCCACCCUCCCUGAGACUGGUUCUGCCGGAGGUUUUCAAGAGAGUUUUUAUUUCUGUCAAAGAAAUACACCAUAAAUUCAUGCAGAGAUAAUCCACUGACCAAUUCCAGGCUGCCUUAACUCUGAUUUCCAACCAAAUGACAGAAGCACAACACAAACAACACCAAUAUACACUGAUUAUUCACAUUUACACCUUAAUACUGACUUUUCUGCCUCAACAAGAUUUAAAACAGAUGUUAAAACUAAACACUGUAAUAAAAUGCACCCAGUAAAUAUAUCAAACUACAGCACAGAGUGUGUGAGAUGGAAAAAAUGGCUUGAGAAUAUGAAUUUCCAUCAAUUCACCAUAAUAGUACCACAAACACAGUAAUACAAAAAUAAAAAAGGAAAUAUAAUAGGUGUAUUAAAAGCUACUAUGGUGAUGUUGUUAGAUCAUACAGUUUUGAUAUAGUUUUCAAAAAUAAGGUAGAAUAUCUGUGCAGAUUGCUGAUAAACAUGUUUAGCUCCUACUUGCUAAUGGCUAGUCGUAUACACAACUGUCGCUAAGAGGCAAUUGUUAAAUUUGUAAUUUUACAAUUAGAAUUGUUAUUUAGGUAGCUCUUUAAUGUCACCAUAAAAAUAUUAUAGGACUUCCUUUUAUAGAAUAAUAUAUUUUGUAAAAUGCAGCAUAUCGUCACCAGUAAGCAAUAAACAUUUAUACAAAGAGCUACUCAAACUGAUUUUUAGAGAUUUGUUGGGUUUCUCUUCUUGACCUUCCGAUGUGAAGAGCCCUGAGAUUAUUUAUGUUGGAAACUGGCUCAGUGUAAAGAAAAUUAAAUUGAAUUAAAUGAAUUUAAUUACAGCAAAAGUACACAAACAUAUUACAGUGGGUGUUUCCAUACUUUUUGGUCACAUUAUGCCAAUUUAGCAGAUUUCAAUUUCAACUUCGGUAAAGAGAAAAUCCAAUUAAACAUCUUUUUUGGUUUAAAAAACAAAGAAAUAACCCUGCAGCUGUGAAGUAUCUAUUUACAGCAAAAGAACAACAAACACAGGACAACAACUUUUUCUACUAAUUCCAUUCAUAAAAUUCAACCUCUUUCUCCAGCUAAACACAAAAACUCAUCCACGGCCCAUUUACACCUCAAUAUUUCCAUUUCUUCUCCUGUUUGAAGCCAAAAUUCAAAGCUGAGUUGCCAGCAGACUGCAAAGAAUCAGCACUGAAUCUUUAAAGCACACAGCAUGAACUCCACUAGUCCUGAUCAUCUAAAGCUAAUGCAUAUUCUGCUUUAUUUCCAGGAAACUACAAUAACUGAUUGAAUUUCUUUCUCCGCCUCUACACAGACGACGCCACGCUGUACAUGACUUCUUAUUCUGCUGCCUGGAACCAAUGACAGAGUGCUGCUUCUCUGCUCGUCUUCGGGGUCAGAGGGAAUAUUUGCUCCAUCUAUUGUCUGAGUGUUGCAGCUCUGACUUCUGACCUCGACUCUAUUGGCUGCUCGCAGCACCGCUGAUCAACGGAUUGCAGCUUCUCCUGUUUCUACAGUCACUUUAAAGCCACCGCAGAGGGAGGAGAGAGCGCCGGAACGAGCGAAAUACAGCUUUUUUGCAGCUGAACUACAGUUUUCUUCAAGCAGAAUUGACAGGCUAAAGAAAAGGAAGAAAAUGGUGAGUCUGAUCAUAAAAUCAUGUUUUAUGUUUUAUAUUUGGGCCAAACCAACCACAUAAAUUGGAAAAAAUAAAGUUUUACAUCCGUUUUCCUUAAAAUUAGGUUGUGGAACACUCAUUUGAGAGGAAUCUAAUUUUAAACCCACAAUCAUAUUUAUCACUUUAGUCUCCAUGUAUAUUCAAAUGGUAUUUUUGGCACAUUUUUGCACAUUCAGGUGGAUAAAAGUCUCUGAAGUUAGCAGGUUGGCAGGUAUUAACUGGAGAACCGACUGCCGUUUAUCAUCCCUGCGAUGGUUUUUAAGGUUCGUUCUACCAAAGGUGAUGAAGAAUAGGAGGAAGAGGAGGAGGAGGGUUGUUGGGCAGAUGUUGCUUUGUUUAAACACUGUUGUUGUAAUUAAGGACAGAAGAACAGAAACCCAUGACCCAUUUACUGCCUUUGAUCAGUUGUCAGGGAGACGAGGAGGGAGGGGUCUGUCUGUAAACUGUCUUUCUGUCUGAGGAAGAACGAGGAGGAGGAGGAGGAGGAGGAGAAGAAGGAGAAGAAGAAGGAGGAGGAGGGGGAGGAGAAGGAGAAGAAGAAGAAGGAGGAGGAGGAGGACGACGAGCAGGAAGUGACAGAGUUUGGAGUCAACAUGGCAGAGUUAAUGACAUCACUAAAGCUCCGCCCACAUUUAUAAGGUUCAUUUCCUAGUUUCCAAAACAACUUUUUAUUGCUAAUAUUUCAUCAUUUUUCAUCUUUUACCAAGAAAAAAAACAAUAAAUUCCAUAUUUCCAGCUCA